rnacentral:misc_RNA from 1 species
UCCCGCUUAUCACGGGCAGUUUCCUUAGAGUGCCCACCAUAACGUGCUGGUAACUAAGGACGAGGGUUGCGCUCGUUGCGGGACUUAACCCAACAUCUCACGACACGAGCUGACGACAGCCAUGCAACACCUGUCUUCUCCCCAGCCGAACUGAAGGAGCCCUAUUACGGACUCCGGUAGGAGAGAUGUCAAAAGGUGGUAAGGUUUUUCGCGUAGCAUCGAAUUAAACCACAUGCUCCACCACUUGUGCGGGUCCCCGUCAAUUCCUUUGAGUUUUAAUCUUGCGACCGUACUCCCCAGGCGGGGUGCUUAACGCGUUAGCUACGACACUGAAGCAUAAGCCCCAAUAUCUAGCACCCAUCGUUUACAGCGUGGACUAC